rnacentral:rRNA from 1 species
ACGCACGCUGGCGGCGUGCUUAACACCUGCAAGUCGAACGGAAAGGCCCUUCGGGGUACUCGAGUGGCGAACGGGUGAGUAACACGUGGGUGAUCUGCCCUGCACUUUGGGAUAAGCCUGGGAAACUGGGUCUAAUACCGAAUAGGACCACGCGCUUCAUGGUGUGUGGUGGAAAGCUUUUGCGGUGUGGGAUGGGCCCGCGGCCUAUCAGCUUGUUGGUGGGGUAAUGGCCUACCAAGGCGACGACGGGUAGCCGGCCUGAGAGGGUGACCGGCCACACUGGGACUGAGAUACGGCCCAGACUCCUACGGGAGGCAGCAGUGGGGAAUAUUGCACAAUGGGCGCAAGCCUGAUGCAGCGACGCCGCGUGAGGGAUGACGGCCUUCGGGUUGUAAACCUCUUUCAAUAGGGACGAAGCGCAAGUGACGGUACCUAUAGAAGAAGCACCGGCCAACUACGUG